ensembl:lncRNA
AGAAGACUUAAAAGUGUUUUUGUCAGUUAAAUGGACUCCAAACGCCGGCAAACCCAAAACACAGCAGGUUUUGGGAGGAGGAGGCGCCCAGCGUCCUUUCCUCCUUGCCAUUAACCACCCGACUGAACUCGGACAAAAUUGGCAGCAGGUGAAGUGGGGAGGACUGUAAGUAGACACGUCGUAGCAACAGGGAACAAUUUGAGGCGCAUUUUGCACACCCGAGAGGAGCCGUCCGCCUUACUGAUGUGACACUGCCUGGAGCACACCGUUGGCCUCGCGGGAGAACCGCAUCGCAUCUCUCGUCCGAGAAGAUAAGAUUUGUGCUCCCUAUCAGCGUCCCCCAGUUUCUGCAUGAAAACCAAGCGUGCAUCACAGCUGGCAAACAAGGCAAAAGAAGAUGCAUAAGGGUACCUGAAAUAAAGCAGCUUCGAGGGAGCAGAGGAUGAAGAGCAGAUCUCCAAGCAUUAGAGGGUGAGUGCCAGAUUUCUUUUCUCUGUACAUCAAACCUCAUGAGUUGCCUUGCUCUAAAGAAAGGCACGUAAUUGUUUACUCUACAGUUUACUCGAUAUUUAGUUAGAGUAGCUAUUUUAGUUAGAUAUUGUUAGUUACAUUAGCUGUUGAUGAAUAUUGACUUAGAUAUUGAUGAACAUAGUUUGCUUUCUUGAGAAGUUAAGUUCUUUCUGCAUGUGAAUGUUAAUGGAACAGAGGAGACUUUU